rnacentral:rRNA from 1 species
AAACCGGUUGAUCCUGCCGGACCCGACCGCUAUCGGGGUGGGGCUAAGCCAUGCGAGUCGUACGCCUGGGGACCGCCAGGCGUGGCGCACGGCUCAGUAACACGUGCCUAACCUACCCUCGGGAGGGGGACAACCCCGGGAAACUGGGGCCAAUCCCCCAUAGGAGAAGGGUGCUGGAAAGCCCCUUCUCCGAAAGGGACUGCGGCCGAUCCGCCGCAGUCCGCCCGAGGAUGGGGGCACGGCCCAUCAUGGUAGUUGGCGGGGUAAUGGCCCGCCAAGCCGAAGACGGGUGGGGGCCGUGAGAGCGGGAGCCCCGAGAUGGGCACUGAGACAAGGGCCCAGGCCCUACGGGGUGCAGCAGGCGCGAAAACUCCGCAAUGCGGGAAACCGUGACGGGGCCACCCCGAGUGCCGCCUGAAGAGGGCGGCUUUUGCCCGGUGCAAAAAGCCGGGCGAAUAAGCGGGGGGCAAGUCUGGUGUCAGCCGCCGCGGUAAUACCAGCUCCGCGAGUGGUCGGGGUGCUUACUGGGCCUAAAGCGCCCGUAGCCGGCCCGGUAAGUCGUCCCUGAAAUCCACGGGCUCAACCCGUGGGCUGGGGACGAUACUGCCGGGCUUGGGGGCGGGAGAGGCCGAGGGUACUCCCGGGGUAGGGGCGAAAUCCGAUAAUCCCGGGAGGACCACCAGUGGCGAAGGCGCUCGGCUGGAACGCGCCCGACGGUGAGGGGCGAAAGCUGGGGGAGCAAAGGGGAUUAGAUACCCCUGUAGUCCCAGCUGUAAACGAUGCGGGCUAGCUGUUGGGCGGGCUUAGAGCCCGCCCAGUGGCGGAGGGAAGCCGUUAAGCCCGCCGCCUGGGGAGUACGGCCGCAAGGCUGAAACUUAAAGGAAUUGGCGGGGGGGCACCACAAGGGGUGAAGCUUGCGGCUUAAUUGGAGUCAACGCCGGAAACCUUACCCGGGGCG